CACCGCUCUCAUGGCGGAAAACUACUUUUAGCGGAAUUUCCAGAGUUCCGUCAAAUGUUUUUCUAGAUGUAGCUUUAUAGAGAUUAUAGACCAAUAAACUUCCAGCUGACAACUAUGCCGAAAAGGAAACUCCACACACCUGACACAACAGAAAGAGACUGGUUGAGAAGAAGCAUUCCACCGCGUACUUUAACAAGAUGGAAAAAAAGGAAAAUCGACCAAACUUUGACUGACAUCAGAAAUCGCACAACGCAACAACAUGGAAGUGAUGAAGAUGGCAGCCAGAGAGAACCGCAGAGAGCAG
ensembl:lncRNA